AGGGACGCCCCCACAGGUAGACGAAGAGGGUCCAGAGAAAGGUGGGGAUUCCCUAACCCCUUCUUUCUUGGCACAGACAGGCAGAGAACACCUCUUUUCUCACCCCUGGGCAGCCCCAGGAAGUCAAUCCUUCCACUAUUCCUGCUCCGUGCCUCUCUUCCCUCUGCCCAGAUUCCUGGGAGACUCAAAACCCUGUUCAACUCUCUCUGGGCUAGCUGCUCCCCUCCCCAAGAGGAUUUCUCUCCAGAGCUGGUAUCAUCGCUUAAUGAUGUUCCACCAACAAGGGGAAGGUUUCUUUUCUGGGAGCUGCUAUCACUGAAUACAUAAAGAAAUUGAGCCUAUAUGAUUUCAAUCUUCACCUUCUGAUGCUGAUGAAACAGGAUUCUAUGCAGAGAAAAUCCUCUCCAGUCAAGUAAUUGCAUCCAUUUCAUCUUCCCAGCCCUCCUCUAGAUGGGAGGUGGAGGACAGUGGGGACCCCAGCCAGAGCCUGGGGACUUGGCUGCCUUGGAACCAGAACCUGGCCCCUCAGAGGAGUUGCAGAAUUUCGAUAGAGGAGUGGCAGGAGGUGUACUGGCUGAAGAGGAGGCCCAAGGAACUCCUUUUCAUACAUCAAAACUGAGCUUAUCACCUCUACCCUGAAGUCAUCCUGGACAUCACUGGUCCCAGUUAAUCACUCACUUAUCUUUGCCAUCCUUGACCUGGGAAGAGAACGUUGCCCUCAUUGGUCUGGAAUCAGCAGGUACCUCAUGGCUGGAGGUGUAUUUUCAGACUCCUUUGGCAUCUGGUGAGGCCUGUGGAUUCAUUCUCAGAAUCACAUUUUUAAAUGCACAUAAUAAAAUACAUAGAAUUGCAAAGGAAGUUAAUUAUAUUGAAAUACAGUUAUCAAAAAUAUAAAUAAAACAAGUAUGUGGUACAGUCAUAUGUGUGCUUCUUUAUUAAGUCAUUACAAAGCAAGAUCUAUUUGGAGGUCUAAUAACUGUCAUAUGCUUGAAAAAAUCCUUAACAAUCAUAAUAUAUUAAAAAAUCUGAUUUCUACUUUGGCAAAUCAUAGAUAUUGCUGAAACUGUGGUUUAUUGCCUGCAUUCAUAAUUGAAGGAAAUGCUAGAGUUCAGUGAGAAGGUUGUGAAAAUAAAGAGAGCCUUUUUUUCUCAUCAAG
rnacentral:lncRNA from 1 species